CGGAGGAACUGUUAAACGAAGGAAAACCCCACUCAAAACGCUGCCUGGAGAGCUGACAAAGCACCUGGCUGCCUUCCGCAGAUCAAAAGAGAGCCCGUGCUAGAGAGAUGGGCUUGAAAUGUGUAGAUUUUGACAGACUGUGCAAAUUUUUAUAAACCUUAAAUUCAAAAAUCCAUCUUUAGUAAUUACAUUAUAACACAAGAGCUCCUCAAUUCAAGCAGCGGGAAUUUUCUCUUCUGCCUUUUGCCUACAUACUGGUAAUUAGUGAGCGCCCAGGGAGCUCACACCACAACUGCCCUCUGCUCUGACUGGAAUCUCCGCAAACGCAGCGAACGAAAGACAAGCCCGAGGAUGCAGCUAAGGCGCUGCGUCACCGUCCCCGGGUUAGCCUCGCACAGGCCAUCACGUGGGCCGGAUCUACCUGCUUUCCUGCUGGGAUUCGGCUUCCUUCUCCUUGGUGGACAAGGGCGAGUCCUCAAAGUCAUAGGAGAAAAGGUGGAAGGGGCUGUGAAGCACAUAGGGCAGCUUUUCUACGGUCAUUCCUUUCCUCUCUCUACAUCCAGCUGGCUUCUUCCCAGACAUUUCCAAAGGGCGGAAGCAAUCAGUUCAGAGAGGAUUCCAUGACCCCGGGAGGGGUGGGCAUCUCAGCACGUCAAAUGAGCCUGUCUGAGAACUUUUACGUGCACCGGUGGCCCCAAGAAUGAGGCCACAGCAGCAAAGAAUCACAUUAACUUUGAACUUGACAUCAUUUGGGGAAAAUACCACAAAAUUUACACGUAUCUGCAAGGUGCCUGUGUCUGUUCACACUGCCCGAAGACAGAAAGGAUGCACCUUGGAGAGGUGAGUGGAGGACAGAAAACUCCCCCAAAGGGCUGUAGAGCUAUGGUAGUUAUUCUAGGCAUGCAAAUAAAUGCUGGGAAUUUUUUCUAUGCUACAUGGGGUGAAAAGUGUUCCUGUCCAUUUGGAUAAAAAUCAAAAUGCAUUAUCCCUCCAGCAGUCAUCCACACAUUAUAGAUAACAUUGUACUGGUAAAAUUAGUAGCAAGAAGGGGACACGUGGAAUUAUUCUUCCUACAGUGCAGACAGGGUUAAAGUUUUCUGAGCAGAGAGGAACAUCCCGUUAGUUACUGUCAAUCUGACUGAGCCGAAGCACUCAAUGAGGGAGGGGACAGUGGGGAGAAAAGCUCCUGGGUGUGUCUCCCAUAAAGCAAGGUUAGGCAAAGCAGCGUCUGCGUAAAAAAUACGGCUCUCUAGGGAAAACGUGCUGUUAUUUCUAUAAAACUAGUCACUCUGUGGCUCCGUGUAAACGUUUGCCGGUGGGAGCUAGUGAGGAAGGGAGGAGGCUACUGCAGGGCGGCUGCAAACUAUCCGUUAGGAAGGAGACUCCAGGCUUGUGGUGGGAGCCGGGGAGUGUGCAGCCCUCGGUACCUGUCCGUGCCCGGACAGGGGGCAUCAUCAUCUUUCUCUUCCUCUGAAUUGGGCUCCGUGACUGGCUGCUCCUCUUCCUCCUCCUCCUCGACCCUGAGGCAAGGCCAGGAAAAGAGAAAUGCACAUAGAGACAAGAUGGGAAAGCAAGAUGAGCGUUACAGACAAACAGGAAGAUGAAGCAGAAAAACUCCAGCUGGCUGAAAUGAAAAGAGCACACUUAGAGGAGGCAGUUGUGAGAUGGGGAAACCUGAGUGUGGGCUGGAGAUGCAAUAACCCAGCACAAGCCAAAUUUCUUUGUCAAGUUGGCUGGAUGCUACUGCCUGCAACCCCCGACCCCACUCCUCCCAUCCCCCUACCACACAUGAUUCACAACAGCUUCUGGCCUUGGGCAGGCUCCCAGGUGGUUCUCCUUCUGCAUACAGAGUCAUGCAGUGGCUGUUCUCAGGGCUGCCCAGCGCCUGCAGCGAGAAGUCCUCAUGUCUUCACUGCAUUCCUUCCUGCACCACCCUCUUCGGUGGACGGAUGGUUUUUGCAUGUCACUCCCUCAUUCUCAGUCAAUGUGUUUGGGGGGGGGGGGCUGAUCCCCCCGCCCACUUCAAGGGUUAACACAUGGUCCAGGUGGAGUCAAUCUGGGCCACCCCUGGGAUUUCUCCUGGUGCCUUCAGGGAUGAGAAGGUACAAGCACACCCUAAGUCUAGUGGAGGAAGGCUGCCUGUGAGUGACCCCGGCCCAAGAACAGCAGAGUUGGAGAGAGAGGGACAGACAUGGAGAGAGAGGAAAGCAGUCUCCAUGACAGUUUUAACACUUGCAUCCAAUACUUCUGAAGCUUCACCCUGGCCUUUCACUAACAGAAGAUAAUAACUUUUCAUUUUUGCUUAAGGUAGUUUAACUUGGGUUUUGCCCUUGCAGCUAAACAAAUACAGACUUUGAUAACUGAAUCAUUACCCUCCUUUGGCCUCUAAAUCCUAUCAACACGUGACUUAUGAGAUGCAAGUGUUCCAUGUGGAACACUUACCCAAGCUUCUCAAUCCCUUGCCAAAGGGAUUAAAACUCCUGAACUCCAAUGACCUUCAUCUUUGUUCACUUCAGGCCCUCACAGGCUGGACCUCACCAUCACACCUAAGUAGCCCACCUUGGAAACCUUACAUCCAAACUUCUACCCCCCGACCACAAGCCCCCAUUCCCCCAAAUCUCUCAUUCCUCUCCUCCCACCGUAACUCUUCUGCAAUCUCAGUGUCCUCCUCUACUUCCUAAAUGUCCACCAGCUCCUUCUUGCCUUCAAUCCUUAUGAAUCGACCGUUUCCCACUGUAGGCAUCAUUCUGCCAAAAUCUGUAACUCUUUUGCCCCACUCUCCUUCAAUUGAUUUUUCUUUUUACUGAAAUAUAAAAUACAUACAGAAGAGGACACGAAUCCCUGAGGUUUCACAGAACAGUUACAUCUACAUAAUCAGCAUUCCUUUAAUGCUCCCUUUGAACUGCUUCCCUCCCCUACUGGAAACAGCACAGGUCAGCUUUGCCUGAUUUCCUUCUCCAUCUAAAAGGAACCAUACUGUAUCCAGCUCCUUUUGUUCAAUAUUACACUUGUGAGAUUCAUCUAUAUUGUUAUAAGUACUUGAAGAUCAUUCUUUCUCAUUGCUGUAUAGUAUUCUCUUACAUGAAUAUACUAUAAUUUAGUUAUCCAUUCUACUGUUGAUGAUAAUCAGGUACCUUUCAGUUUGGGGUCAUUUUGAAUAGGGCUGUUAUAGAUAUUGGAGUACAUGUGUUUUAGUGUUUUGGGUCAUGAGAUAUGCUUAAAUUCAUCUUUAUUAGAAACUGUCAAACAAUUUUUUUAAAUGAAUGAAUGAAUUUACAUUCCCAUAGACAGUAUAUGAGCAUUCUGGUUCUUCCACAUCCUUGCCAAGAUUUUAUAUUUUUGUCUAUUUCAUUUGCUAUCUAAUCUGUGUGUGAUGAUGUCUCAUUGUGGUUUUACUUUGCUCUCCCCGAUGACUAAUGAAGAUGGGCACAUUAUCAUACUUUUAAUGUCUAUUUAGAUAUCCUCUUUUUGAAGUGUGUAAGUACUUUGCCUUUAAAAAAAAAAGAAAAGGCUCGGACUUCCCUGGUGGCGCAGUGGUUAAGAAUCCGCCUGCCAAUGCAGGGGACACAGAUUCAGUCCCUGGUCCAGGAAGAUCCCACGUGCCGUGGACCAACUAAACCCAUGCACCACAACUACUGAGCCUGUGCUCUAGAGCCCGCGAGCCACAACUACUGAAGCCCGAGUGCCUAGAGCCUGUGCUCUGCAACAAGAGAAGCUACCACAAUGAGAAGCCUGAGCAUCACAACAAGGAGUAGCGCCCACUCGCCACAACUAGAGAAAGCCCACGCGCAGCAACGAAGACUCAAUGCAGCCAUAAAUAAAUAAACUAAAAAAAAAAAAGGCUUUUUAUUUGUAGAAAUUCUUUACAUAAUUUGGACACAAGUAAUUUGUCAUAUUCUAGUGUUGCAAAUAUGUUUUCCCUGUGGGUUGCCUUUGCAUUCACUUCAUGGUAUCUUUUAAUAAACAUACGUUCUUAA